CGAUCCCAGGACCCCGGGGUCACGCCCUGAGCCCAUGGGAUCGCGCCCUGAGCCGAAGGCAGAUGCUCAACCGCUGAGCCACCCAAGCAUCCCAGUUAUUUGGUUUUCAAACUCCAAGAUACUCUGGAAUCUGCCGCAAGUCCCUGCGAGAACGACCAUGUGAUCACUCCCGGUGAACUGGAAGCCGUACCUUUGUCAGCACCCCCACCAGCUUUGCCAAAACUGUCAAGCACUGCGCGGGGUGUGGCAUUUGCCCUACUUGCAAGCCAGCACGUUAGUGUGCCACCGCGUCACACAUGGAGGAGAAAGACCAGAGAUGAAGGAGUCAUUGCUCAGCGAAAGCAACAGCUAGAGCACUGGCAUUUUUGCAUCAGUUCCUCAAGUCCCAAGCCCCACAGGAUGAUGAGGACAGACGAGGCGACGUCAGCCCAUGCAAUAGGCUAUGUUGCAGGAGGUGAACCCUGAGCUCAGGGAGCCGGAACUUUCCAUAAUGCGACCCCAGCGCCCAGCCUGCGACUCUCACCUGAUCCAGGGGGUCCCCAGGGGAAGGCGGGAAGUGCCUGUGCUGCUCCUCAACUGGAGACCCAAUCCCAAGAAAAGUUGAGCGGGGUCAAUAGCUCUGACAUGGGAGCAAACGAGAAGACCAAGAUACCUCUGAGUAGCAUCUGAAGGUACUCAGGAAGGAAGGUAGCAUCUGAGAGGUUAUUACCCAAAUCUGCCAACCCCUUAGAGGAUGUGUGUGGGGAGGCCCAGUGCUGCCGGGUGUUGCCAGGGCCCCGGCCGUGUGGGGAGGAGGAGGGCCGGGUGGUGGCCACACUGGCCCUGAAGCCCGCCAUGUUCUACUCACUGAACCAUGAACCUGGACUGAGGCCACACGGAGCCAAAAGACAGAGCACCCAUUCGCACCCAUUCGCACCCAUUCGCACCCAUUCCCAAACUGAGCACCACAGGGGGCGCUUUUUUCUUAUCUGCGUAGAGCCCCAUUUGUGCGAGCUGUGGCCCUGGAAGGAGAACAUCCUCAAAUCCUGGAAUGCUAAAACUCAAGGGCACCCAUUGAAAUUCUAUGAAAGUAGUUUAAAGAUAAAUAAAAGAUGGCAUUACUUUAUACAGUGGGUAGUAAACAUAUGGAACUCAUUAUCCUCAAGAUGUUGCGUAGUCCACAAAUAUAAAUAGGAUAAAGAAAGAUUCAGAUAAAUUCAUGCUUGUUAGAUUCAUAUGAGCUGUUAGAGCAUUGUUAGAAACACACAGGGAACGUCUCCAAAUGCUUUCAGGGAAAAUACUGAUGUCCUACAGAGCCAUUGCCACGAAUUGAAUAAGCGAGUCUCUGACUGUCCAGGUUUCUCAAGAAAGUCAACAUCCAUAACACCCAAGUUUUCCAAGUAGCUGAGCGUUAAGCUACUAUAUCCUAAGUAUAUUCUUUGCAUUAACAAAUUGUGUAAAAGUCUCUCUCGAUGGUGGCAUGAACCGUGAUGUGAUCUUACAUGGAGCUUGCCAAACUUAACCUCUUAAUUUGAGAACUUGGAGUUUUCACGUCCAACACACAAUAUCGUCCUGGGCUGUGAGACGCGGAUACCUCAGGAGCCAGGGCGUCCGAUGGGAUGGGCUGCACUGUUUUCCUGUAACCGGUCCUUCGGAGCGAUCGUGUUCAUUCCUUGCACUUCUUUGAGUAUUCGUGCUUUACUUUAGCAUCUUCGAUCUUCUUCCCUGUACUCCAGGCUUCUGUUCCCACGACUGUGAGUGGGCUUCCGCGGAGAACCCUUUUGUUCCUAAUCUGCUGCUCUCGCCUCUUUGACUUCGGAGGAAAGUGCCCCACUCUGGUCCGCAGCCUGUCAUCUCAGCUGGAGACCAGGCUGUACUAUUAACAAGCUUGACCGAAGGUUGGAGUAACAGAAGAGAAGCACAGGGGGGACCCCUGAAGCCAGGGGGGACCCAGACCCAUUCUGAGUUUAUGCCUCUUUUGUUCCCAACCCCGCCCAGCUCACCCCAGCUGCAGGUAGAGGCAGGACAGAGAUCUCCACAGCUCCAGUCACAAGCCCGGGCAAGCUCCAGAGAUGGGAAGGAGAUGUUUCCUCCCUCCGGUUCAAGGCCAACUUCUCCAGUCAUCACUUCUUGUUCCCAGUAUCUUGCUGCUUUCCCUAAGACGACGGAGCAGCAGAGCUUGUCCCGUGGUUCCCAGUAGGGUGAUGCAUCAAAACGGUGGUGCACCUUCAGUACAUUCUGGAUCACUCAACCUUAUAUUGCCCACAGGCCUCAACAGUCGGGCCGAGCUCCUCUGUGUGGUCUGUGUCCUCGCGCGAGGUCUUGCAUGCUCAUCCUUCGUGCAGUCUCCAGAUUUUGCUCCUGAACAAGAAUGCACACGAAUCUCUAAGUGAAUAAGUGAUGCUUCUCAGGCUCAAUAUCGUCUAAAUCCAUGUUUUAAAGAAAACGCUUACCUAAGGGAAAUCGAGGGUGCAGAGAUGCAGUUCUGCAGAUUACAAAACAGGCAUUUGCCGUUGAGUUAGAAUAUAGAGAUAUUUAGCGACUCAGAGUCACCAAUUUAAAACAAGGCCUUCGCUUAAGUUUGAACAUCUAAACGACUCAUUCUGACUAUUUUCUCCAAAUAAAAUAACAUUCUGCCCUGAAGUGAAUUCCAGCUGCCAUCUCUUGAGAGGAAAAAAAAAACUCUUAAAGCUUUGAACUCACUGAGCUUUUCUCCUUCUUUCUGCUCAUCGAGUUUUCAAAAAUCUUUAAGGCUGAAUUUUAGUCCAAGCUCCCCUUAGCUAAGUAUGAUAUUUAAUAGAUUCUAAAAUGUACUUAUUUUGUUUAUCUUAUUUUUCAUAUUUCAACAUCUCUGAAAUCAGGACACAUCUUACAACCCACAGCUUCUCACAAUCACACUCAGCCAAGCAGCAUUCGUGACACAAUUGCCUGCAUCCAUGAGAAAUUAGUCGACUAAAACUAAGCUUGCUGGAAGUACAGUGACUCGGUUGUUCCUGUCAAGGCUGACCCGGACGACAAAGCUCCAGACAACAGGUCAUUUGAGGAUAUUUAAGGUGGGAGUAUAAACCUGUUGUCUGAAAACUUCCAUGAACAACUUCCAGUAGGAUCCAUAAAGUUCCAGAAUUAAAACUUGCAUAAUUGGUGCCAGUGGUUUGCAAACAAGUAUUAGGGACAGGAAUAGAGCACUCUUUUAAGAAAUGCCACCUCAUUUGUGUUCUUGGUGACAGUGUUUAAUACUCUAUAGAGAUACCAAGGACUCUGAAUCCAAAGUGCUUCAGAAGAGCCAGCUUCUAAAUGUGCAGAAGUUUUCGGGGCGCCUGGGUGGCUCAAUUGGUUAAAUCUGCCUUCAGCUCGGGUCAUGACCUAGGGUCCUGGGAUGGAGCCCCAAGCCGAGCCGGGCUCCCUCCUCACUGGGGAGUCUGCUCCUCCCUUUCCC